CUGACGCCAAGGGACGAUCUCGCCACUGCCCUGUCUGAUCACCUGACCCACAGACAGGACGUCAGAGACAGACAGGAGGUCAGAGACAGACAGAAAGGAAGUCAGAGACAGACAGACAGGAGGUCAGAGACAGACAGAAAGGAAGUCAGAGACAGACAGGAGGUCAGAGACAGACAGGAGGUCAGAGACAGACAGUAGGUCAGAGACAGACAGACAGACAGGAGGUCAGAGACAAACAGGAGGUCAGAGACAGACAGACAGGAGGUCAGAGACAGACAGACAGGAGGCAAGAGAAAGACAGACAGGAAGUCAGAGACAGACAGGAGGUCAG